AAGUCCAUCCGGUAGAUUCGUCCUGGUGCUGCUGCUGAAGUCCGUUCCUGUGUGAAAGCGUGCUCAGUGGUUAAUCGGUUUAGACCUGUUAAACUAGAAAUCUGUGGUUGUAAGAUGGGUGUGAAGCGGGACUUGUGCAUUUUUUUUUAUUAUUAUCAGCAUUACAUAUAAUUAUUGCAGAAAAAUGUGACUGUAUUUGGUUUAGAGCCAAAAGGUUGCACGGAUCAGUGUGACUAGGCCGCAUUGCCGAGGAAACGGAUAUGGGCGGAUGAUGUUCUCGGAUCGUUGCAGAGUUCUGGGGUGAAUGCACGUGGACAGGACGAUAAAGGAGCUGUGCGUGUUUGAUCGACCUCUGAAUCAAUAGCACUGGGGUGCCGUUCAGAUGUGAGGUGUGAAAAUGGACCAGGAUAAUGAAAAUCACAAGGUGACACAAUGGUGGUUUCACAAAUGACAAUGUUUUUGCUUUCCCUGAUGUAUUCCUAUACUGGAAAAUAAAUGACAGUGUGAAUAAAG